rnacentral:rRNA from 1 species
CACAGGGAGGUAGWGACAAGAAAUAACAMUACGGGGCUUAAUGUCUUGUAAUUGGAAUGAUGGGAAUUUAAACCUCUUCCAGAGUAUCAAUUGGAGGGCAAGUCUGGUGCCAGCAGCCGCGGUAAUUCCAGCUCCAAUAGCGUAUAUUAAAAUUGUUGCAGUUAAAAAGCUCGUAGUUGAAUUUCUGCUGUUUUGUUAUUUCUCCUUGACGAGUUAUAACAUAAUGGCUUAUUUCGGUCAUUGCAUUUAGCAUUGUCCGGAUGUUUACUUUGAGAAAAUUAGAGUGCUCAAAGCAGGCUUUAGCCUUGUAUAGUUUAGCAUGGAAUAAUAAAGUAGGACUUUGGUUCUAUUUUGUUGGUUUUAGGUACCAAAGUAAUGGUUAAUAGGAACAGUUG